rnacentral:rRNA from 1 species
UGGGGAAUAUUGCACAAUGGGCGCAAGCCUGAUGCAGCAACGCCGCGUGAAGGAUGACGGUCUUCGGAUUGUAAACUUCUUUAGGCAGGGACGAAAAAAAUGACGGUACCUGCAGAAUAAGCCCCGGCUAACUACGUGCCAGCAGCCGCGGUAAUACGUAGGGGGCAAGCGUUAUCCGGAAUUACUGGGUGUAAAGGGUGAGUAGGCGGUUUGUAAAGUCAUGUGUGAAAUCCCUAGGCUUAACUUAGGGGCUGCACAAGAAACUUAUGAACUAGAGUACAGGAGAGGUAAGCGGAAUUCCUAGUGUAGCGGUGAAAUGCGUAGAUAUUAGGAAGAACACCGGUGGCGAAGGCGGCUUACUGGACUGAAACUGACGCUGAGUCACGAAAGCGUGGGGAGCGAACA